rnacentral:rRNA from 1 species
AGUGAACGCUGGCGGUAGGCCUAACACAUGCAAGUCGAACGGCAGCACAGUAAGAGCUUGCUCUUACGGGUGGCGAGUGGCGGACGGGUGAGGAAUACAUCGGCAUCUACUUUUUCGUGGGGGAUAACGUAGGGCAACUUACGCUAAUACCUCAUAAGACCUACGGGUGAAAGCAGGGGAUAUUCGGACCUUUCGCGAUUGAAUGAGCCGAUGUCGGAUUUGCUAGUUGGCGGGGUAAAGGCCCACCAAGGCGACGAACCGUAGCUGGUCUGAGAGGAUGAUCAGCCACAUUGGAACUGAGCAACGGUCCAGACUCCUACGGGAGGAAGCAGUGGGGAAUAUUGGACAAGGGGCGCAAGCCUGACGCAGCAAUACCGCGGGGGUGAAGAAGGCCUUCGGGUGGUAAAGCCCGUUUGUUGGGAAAGAAAAGCAGCAGGUUAAAACCCCGCUGUUCUGACGGUACCCAAAGAAUAAGCAACGGCUAACUACGUG